UACGGAGGGUGCAAGCGUUAAUCGGAAUUACUGGGCGUAAAGCGUGCGCAGGCGGUUUGUUAAGUCUGUUGUGAAAUCCCCGAGCUCAACUUGGGAAUUGCAAUGGAUACUGGCAGGCUGGAGUAUGGUAGAGGAAGGUGGAAUUCCCGGUGUAGCAGUGAAAUGCGUAGAUAUUGGGAAGAACACCGGUGGCGAAGGCGGCCAACUGGACCACAACUGACGCUGAGGCGCGAAAGCUAGGGGAGCAAACGGG
rnacentral:rRNA from 1 species